CCCAGUCAGCUACAACUCUGGGUUCUUCCUCUUCACCACCUCCACAAACGCUGGACGUGGACACAAGGACAAACCCAGGGAGGCAGAGGAGACACCCUCCCAUCCACUGAAGACCCCCCAAACUUCUCAGCAACCCCAGAAUCCUAACCAGCACAGAUGUGGAGCUGGUCUGUUUAAAACAGCAAUCUUCAAGCCCCUACCUUCCACCACCACAGCCUCCAGGGGUCCCAGCUACCUGCAUUCCUCCAAGGACCCACACGAGACUCUCCCCACCUGAUUUCCUGCAGUUUAUCCACUGACAGUAUGUCAGGAUGAGCAAAACCUAACUCAAGAACUUUCAGGGGCCGGCCCAGUGGCUCAGGCAUUUGGAGCUCUGUGCUCCUAAUGCCGAAGGCUGCCGGUUCGAUUCCCACAUGGGCC